rnacentral:rRNA from 1 species
GACGAACGCUGGCGGCGUGCCUAAUACAUGCAAGUUGAGCGCUGAAGGUUGGUACUUGUACCAACUGGAUGAGCAGCGAACGGGUGAGUAACGCGUGGGGAAUCUGCCUUUGAGGGGGGACAACAUUUGGAAACGAAUGCUAAUACCGCAUAAAAACUUUAAACACAAGUUUUAAGUUUGAAAGAUGCAAUUGCAUCACUCAAAGAUGAUCCCGCGUUGUAUUAGCUAGUUGGUGAGGUAAAGGCUCACCAAGGCGAUGAUACGUAGCCGACCUGAGAGGGUGAUCGGCCACAUUGGGACUGAGACACGGCCCAAACUCCUACGGGAGGCAGCAGUAGGGAAUCUUCGGCAAUGGACGAAAGUCUGACCGAGCAACGCCGCGUGAGUGAAGAAGGUUUUCGGAUCGUAAAACUCUGUUGGUAGAGAAGAACGUUGGUGAGAGUGGAAAGCUCAUCAAGUGACGGUAACUACCCAGAAAGGGACGGCUAACUACGUG